rnacentral:rRNA from 1 species
GAUGAACGCUGGCGGCGUGCUUAACACAUGCAAGUCGAACGGUGAAAGAGAGCUUGCUCUCUGGAUCAGUGGCGAACGGGUGAGUAACACGUGAGCAAUCUGCCCUUGACUCUGGGAUAAGCGCUGGAAACGGCGUCUAAUACUGGAUACGAGCUGCGAAGGCAUCUUCAGCAGCUGGAAAGAACUUCGGUCAAGGAUGAGCUCGCGGCCUAUCAGCUUGUUGGUGAGGUAAUGGCUCACCAAGGCGUCGACGGGUAGCCGGCCUGAGAGGGUGACCGGCCACACUGGGACGGAGACACGGCCCAGACUCCUACGGGAGGCAGCAGUGGGGAAUAUUGCACAAUGGGCGCAAGCCCGAUGCAGCAACGCCGCGUGAGGGGCAACGGCCUUCGGGUUGUAAACCUCUUUUAGCAGGGAAGAAGCGAAAGUGACGGUACCUGCAGAAAAAGCACCGGCUAACUACGUGCCAGCCGCCGCGGUAA